AUUGAACGCUGGCGGCAUGCUUUACACAUGCAAGUCGAACGGUAACAGGCCGCAAGGUGCUGACGAGUGGCGAACGGGUGAGUAAUGCAUCGGAACGUGCCCAGUCGUGGGGGAUAACGCAGCGAAAGCUGUGCUAAUACCGCAUACGAUCUAUGGACGAAAGCGGGGGACCGCAAGGCAUCGCGCGACUGGAACUGCCGAUAUCAGAUUAGGUAGUUGGUGGGGUAAAGGCUCACCAAGCCGACGAUCUGUAGCUGGUCUGAGAGGACGACCAGCCACACUGGGACUGAGACACGGCCCAGACUCCUACGGGAGGCAGCAGUGGGGAAUUUUGGACAAUGGGCGAAAGCCUGAUCCAGCCAUGCCGCGUGCAGGAUGAAGGCCUUCGGGUUGAAAACUGCUUUUGUACGGAACGAAAAGGUUUGGCCUAAUAAGCUGAGCUCAUGACGGUACCGUAAGAAUAAGCACCGGCUAACUACGUGCCAGCAGCCGCGGUAA
rnacentral:rRNA from 1 species